CAGAUACCUCAUAGCUGCAUGGCCGCAUCUGUGGAUCUCCCCUAUAAAUACGCAUACUUAUACUAAUUUAUAUGCAGAUAUCAACCAACUCCAGCGAUCAAUUAAUAAGCUCGAGGUUCAUUUAGCUACAGCGGUGCCAGAUGAGCUCCACGGACGCCACCGCCCCUGGAGGCCUCUUCGUUGAGGAGUCGAAGUCGUGGCCGGAGGUGGUGGGGAAGUCCAUCAAGGAGGCCAGGGAGAUCAUUCUCAAGGACAAGCCUGAAGCCGACAUCGUCGUCGUCCCAGCAGGGGCACCGGUCACCCUGGACUUGAGGCCCAACCGUGUGCGCAACUUUGUUGACACCGUUGCCGAAACACCCUUCACCGGCUAGGCAGCUUUGCUGGCAUGAAGGAAUGUAUGCCUGCACCAUGCAUGCUCAUGAAUACGUUUUUAUCAAUGGAUAAAUAAAUGCAGGCAUGUCAAGCAUUAGCAUGCCAUGGCAUGGAUCUCUA